UUUUCCAGGCAAAUCCGGAAAAUCAAGGCUGAGGCGUGAUGACGAGGCACUACGGUGCUGAAGCAACAAAUGCCCUGCUUCCAGGAAAAGCCUCUAAGCAUCAGGUAACAUCAAAUCGUACCCCAAACCGACACAGGUGGUCAGGUAGAGAAUACCAAGGCGCUUGAGAGAACUCGGGUGAAGGAACUAGGCAAAAUGGUGCCGUAACUUCGGGAGAAGGCACGCUGAUAUGUAGGUGAAGCGACUUGCUCGUGGAGCUGAAAUCAGUCGAAGAUACCAGCUGGCUGCAACUGUUUAUUAAAAACACAGCACUGUGCAAACACGAAAGUGGACGUAUACGGUGUGACGCCUGCCCGGUGCCGGAAGGUUAAUUGAUGGGGUUAGCGGUAACGCGAAGCUCUUGAUCGAAGCCCCGGUAAACGGCGGCCGUAACUAUAACGGUCCUAAGGUAGCGAAAUUCCUUGUCGGGUAAGUUCCGACCUGCACGAAUGGCGUAAUGAUGGCCAGGCUGUCUCCACCCGAGACUCAGUGAAAUUGAACUCGCUGUGAAGAUGCAGUGUACCCGCGGCAAGACGGAAAGACCCCGUGAACCUUUACUAUAGCUUGACACUGAACAUUGAGCCUUGAUGUGUAGGAUAGGUGGGAGGCUUUGAAGUGUGGACGCCAGUCUGCAUGGAGCCGACCUUGAAAUACCACCCUUUAAUGUUUGAUGUUCUAACGUUGACCCGUAAUCCGGGUUGCGGACAGUGUCUGGUGGGUAGUUUGACUGGGGCGGUCUCCUCCUAAAGAGUAACGGAGGAGCACGAAGGUUGGCUAAUCCUGGUCGGACAUCAGGAGGUUAGUGCAAUGGCAUAAGCCAGCUUGACUGCGAGCGUGACGGCGCGAGCAGGUGCGAAAGCAGGUCAUAGUGAUCCGGUGGUUCUGAAUGGAAGGGCCAUCGCUCAACGGAUAAAAGGUACUCCGGGGAUAACAGGCUGAUACCGCCCAAGAGUUCAUAUCGACGGCGGUGUUUGGCACCUCGAUGUCGGCUCAUCACAUCCUGGGGCUGAAGUAGGUCCCAAGGGUAUGGCUGUUCGCCAUUUAAAGUGGUACGCGAGCUGGGUUUAGAACGUCGUGAGACAGUUCGGUCCCUAUCUGCCGUGGGCGCUGGAGAACUGAGGGGGGCUGCUCCUAGUACGAGAGGACCGGAGUGGACGCAUCACUGGUGUUCGGGUUGUCAUGCCAAUGGCACUGCCCGGUAGCUAAAUGCGGAAGAGAUAAGUGCUGAAAGCAUCUAAGCACGAAACUUGCC
rnacentral:rRNA from 1 species